CAUCAUAUACCGGCCGUUAAAAAUUGUCAAUUUUGUGAGCUAUUGAUCGUAAGGUAAAUGAUAUCGAAAAAUUAUAAAAUUUAAUUUCUAAAAGUUUUAAAUGCUCUAAAAAAUAUUUAACGGUAUGGAUCAUCGAUUCGGAAGCUCUAUCAUCGAAAACGACUUAUGAGUACGAAGGCGAUCGUACUCAUAAGAGUAUAGUAGCCGAGCUCUAUAUAUAUAUAUAGAGCUAGUCUCCUAUUCUAUCUAUAGUACCGGGGCUCCGGUACUAUAGUCUCGUUUUCGAUCUUAGAGUGUUCAAAUCAACGAUCCACACUGUUAAAACUGAUCUAGGGUAUUUAAAGUUUUUAGAAAUAAAAUUUUAUAUUUUUUCGACAUAGUUUACUUUAUGAUCAAACCAUUUCAAAAUUGUCAAUUUUCAAUGGCUACUAUGGCGAGUUCGGAGUUUAACAGUGUAGAAGAAUCUAAAUUUCUUCAAAUUUUGAUAGAAAAUACUUUAAACUAUCUAGAUUAAGGUUAACAUUCUUGAUCUUGAAUUUAAAAGUCCUAUGCUCAAAUUUUAAAGACUAUUCAAUUUCCACCGUCCAUUUUGACAUAAUUUAUUUACUAAGUAAACGAUGUCGAAAAAAACUAAAAUUUUAUUCCUAAGAACCUCAUAUACCCUGUAUCAUAUUUAACGAUUUGGAUCGUUAAUUUGAACACCAUAAGAUCGAAGACAAGACUAUAGUACCGGAGCUCCGGUACUAUAGAUAGUACAGUAGCCUAAUUCAUAUAUAUAUAUAUAUAUAUAUCAUGUAAGCUUUGCAUGUUAGCCCUCCGAAGUAUAAUAUUUUUAGCCGAGUCCCUCACGACGUGUGUAUUUUGAGCGUAUGCACCUCGCCGUUCGAAAUUACGCAAAACGGUACAUAAAAUAUUGGGAGUUUUGCGAAUUUUUCGUUUUGCCACUUUCGACCCCUCGGCGAACAUUAUGCGAUUUCCGGAGAUUCGUCCGUCGGAUUUGAGAUCGAACUACCCUGACGUGUUUAGGACGACCGGGGCAUCGAAACCACUAUUUUGUUUCGUCCGAUAAGGUCACCGAUUUGCAACGAAAGCUGUCAUCUCUCCGAUUUCCAAAAACUACACACACACACACACACACACAUACACACACACACACACACACACACACAUAUAUAUAUAUAUAGAAUUUGGCUGGAAUACUAUUAAUAGUAAAACGCUCUUUUUGCUAUCAAGUUUUUAACCUUUGGAUGAAAAAUUAUAAGGUCAGGAUGAUAUUAAUCGGUUAGAGUUGAGUGGUCCCCCUAGGGUUGAGUGGUCCCCCUAGGGUUUAGGGUUUAGGGUUUAGGGUGGUCCCCACUGGAUUAUAGUAUUUAAUCCAAUGGUUAGAAAUAAUGAAAAGAGUUGAUCCAAAGGCUAAAAAACUGGUAGCAACAAUAAAAUUUUGCUACUAAUAGUAGCCCAGUCCAACUAUAUAUAUAUAUAUAUAUAGAACUAGGCUGGAAUACUAUUAAUAGCACCAAGCAAUUGGUGCUAUUAGUUUUUUAGCCAUUGGAUUAGGAAAUGUACGGUUAGGAUGAUGUGGGCUCCUAGGGUUGAGUGGUUGGUUGGUUGUAUAGUAUAAUCUAACGGGUAAAAAUAAUCAAGGGGUUAUGUAGCACACUGGACCUUUGCAAAGUGCGAGGUUCAAGUGUUCGAUUUGUAUUCCGAACUUUUCCACACUUGGUGGAGGGCCGUCGAUGGUAUACCGGCCUAAAAGUUCGAUCUCAAGAGUUUUGGGCAGAGUCCUGAGAGUUUCUACUCUCGGGGACCGGUCCCUGGUAGGACAGACCGGUCCCCCAGUGAACAGUGCUGCGUAGCCGGCGAGGCAACCGGUCCCUGGCAGUUGAGACCGGUCCCCGAGCGCGUCUGCGCGGGGAGAGACCGGUCCCUCGCUGGGAGAGACCGGUUCCCGAACGUUGGAUUUUCGGGGGCAAGCUAAGAGACCGGUCCCAGGUCGGGGAAACCGGUCCCUCUGGGCGAAAACUGCCCAGACCGGGCUGAUGUAAAUUUGAGUUUUUGAGGGGCCUAUGUGGAUUUUGUUACUUUAGAGGCUAUAAGCAGCCUCUCCUCCCCUCUCACUCUCAUUUUCUCUCCCUCACACUCUUCCUACACUUUUAGAGAGAGCAAGGGAAGGAGAAGAAGGAGAAGGAGGGGAGAAGAGCUUGCUUGGAGGCCUUGGAGCACCAUCUUCUUCCUCAUUUCCNCACCUGAACAAGCUCUUCGAUCAAUUAAUCACAUAUUUUACAACGAAUAUAGUUUACAAGAGAAAUGAUCCGGUACUUUACUUUAUGAAAAAUUUUAAAAAAAAUCUUAACCGUUGAUUAAUGAAUGUUAAAAAUAUCAUUUCAUUAUAUAGCAGAUUAAAAAGUUAUUUCAUGUGAAGAUAUUUUUGUAAUUAAACUAGACAAAAAUUUUAAAAAAAUGAUUAAUAUCCUAAAUUUAGCAUUAAUUAUGCACUAAUUUAAGAAUUAAUUUAAGAUUUGAUUGAUAUCCAAAUUUUAGGCAUUAAUUUUAAAAAUUUUAGAAUUCUUCUAAUUUAGGCAUUAAUUUAAUUUUCGAAAUUUUAGAAAUAGUAUGUUGAAUUUAAAUAUUUAAUAUUUAAAUUUAAAUAAGAGAAAUUUUGUGUUACAAUUUUAACAAAUUUAAUGUUGAUAAUAACGAAUUCAAUAUAUUUAAUUUGUUUAAGAAACUUUUAAAUUACUCUAGUUUAGAUAUUAAUUUUUUAUCACAAAUUUUCAAAAAAAAUUGAAUGUAGGUAAAAAAAAUUUUAAUUCAAUGUAUUUAAUAUGUUGUAAUAUUUUUUAAUGAAAUAGUUGCAGAUUAUGAAUAUGAAAUGAUAAAAUAACUGUGAAUUACAGAUGUUAAUGGGUAUGAAUACCCAUAAUUUUAUUUUAUUUGAAUCCGAACCCAAAUCCGAAAACAAUACUACUCAUUCUAAAUAGUUGAAUAAAAAUAAAUGAGCGAUAUCGAAAAAUAAGGUAUAGAAGCACUACUCAAUUUACAAAUUUCACGUAAGUCUCAAACAUAUAUGGAGGUAGAUGCACAAGCAUCUUUGACAUGUCAAUCACUGUUAUAGAAGAAAAGACGGAAUGAAAAGGAGCAGAGUUUAUUUAAGAGUUCCACACUUUUCUUAGCACCGCCGUUGUGCUUUCCUAUCACAACACUACUGUCUCAAAUCAUGCCUUUUUUAUAGUGAUCUGAGCCUUGAAUAUGUCUUUAGCUAGCUUAUGCCAUGCAGGCGUGUAAAGAUGGAGCCAUGCAUGCCUGGAUCCGGUGGCUCCCUAACAGAUUUGGGAAUUUCUUCUCGGUUGAUCUUUUCUGGGUAUUGGGCUCGCUUCCGAUCUGACGCCGUUGGCACUCGGAAAUCGGUAGUACAUGGCCUCUCCUGGCCCUCUUGUUGAUACACGCCUCCCUUGAUCUUGGUUGGUCCUUCUAGAAUUUGCUUGCAGUCCUACAGUCUCAUUUUUCUGAAUAGAGGAGGGCUUACUGCUCGCUGCUGCUGCUGCUGCUGCUGCUGCUGCUUCAUGGGCAUGCUCAAAUGUUGGCUUCCCCUCCUGUAGCGAUAUGCGGUCUGCGCUUUUGUCGUGGCCUCUUUUCUCCGAGCUGACAUCCUUAACCUGCUGUUCCUUUUCCUUUGUCAGAUUGUCUGUUGCUGUGUUGUCGAUUGGCUGCUUAGUACUAGAUUUCAGGCCUUUUUUGACUUCUUCGCUCUUUUUGUUACCUUCUUUUAUCGUGGGAUCGACCUUAUCGGAUUCCUGAGAUGAGGAGUCACCUCCUGCUGCAGCUGCUGUUGCUGCGAUGGGCGGUUCCUCCGUGUUUGCGCCCGGCGGUUUGCUCGCUCCAUUCGUCUCCGAGCUCGGACGUGGUCCCGAAGGCGGCGGCGGCGGCAGCGGCUUUUGCGCAUAGUCGCUGCUCACUCCAUUCAUUGCCGAGCCCGGAGGUGGUCCUGAAGGCGGCGGCGGCUUUUGCGCAGCAGUUCCUUCAUCUGUGGGACUAGAGCAGCAACAGAAGAUCUCCCAACACAUAGUGAGUGAUAGUGCACUCUCUCUCUCUCUCUCUCUCUCUCUCUCGCUCUCUCUCUCUCUCUCUCUCUCGAUCUCUCGCUUUUCCUCCAAAGUUAACAGAUUGAGAAGCUCGACAGGAAAGAAUUGGAGGAAAAAUUUUAUUUGUGUUAUGUAUGUAUAUGGUAAUCUUCCACCUCUCGUAUCCAAAUUAGAUCUGAAUCAGUAGUGAGAUGAGCAUGACAAUGAAGUGUCUAAUUAUGGGAUAAGAAGGGGUGGCGUACUAGCGUUACUCUUUCUCCAUUCUUGCAGCAUAAUACUUUGCCUAGAUUCUAAUUCCGUGUCUGGUAUGCUGUUGCAAGUCAUUCUCCCACUAAUUAGAUGCCCUAAUAAUUAUGGGAUUAAGAAGUGCUUAGUAAUUAAUUAAUUCAUUCCAUUAUGGAUACAAGAGGACCUGGUUCUGAUAUAAUGGUGGAAAUGAGCCAAGAGUAAGUGCCCCUUUAACUAUAGGGGAUUUUUAGUUAGGACCAUCACUUAAAUCUAUUUUAUUUGAUCAAUUUAUUAUUAUUAUACCUUUAUUAAUAAAAAAAUAAAAGUUGUAACAGAAUCAUAGUAACAAAUUAAGUUCUUUAGUUUUCAGAAAUUUUCCAAAGAUUCACGAUUUUUAGUUGACCGAAAAUCGUAAGAAAAUUAAUACGAAAAAUUCGUAGAUCAAUCAACUAAUUUAAAUAUUGCAAACAUUACACAUCAACUUACACAUGAAUUACUCAUUUUUCACUUAUUACCUAGAAAAUGAUGAAAAAUUAAAUUAUUAUACAAUUUUGAUUCUUUAAUUUAUAUAAUUUUGUUAUCAUAUGAUUUUUUAUCUAUUAACCAAACUAUUUCUGAACGUUUUUCAAAUUUUCUGAAUUUUUACCAAACCCGAAUAUUUCAACUUGGUAAAUUUUAAUUGAAUACCGAAUUUGUGAAUAUGGCUAGAGCACUGAUAAAUAUAAAAAGAAUUUUAUUUUAAUUAAAUUAUAUAUCACUCGAUUUAAAAAGGAACUAAACGUUUAAAAAAUAUCAAUAAGUAAAAAAAAAAUUCAGAUGGGCAAAUCAAAAUAGGCAAUAGUUGAAGUGGUCUCUAUAACAUUUUUAUUCAAGCAAUAGCUUCAGUUUAAUAUUUGAAUAUCUUUCUAAAUUCUAAUUGGGUGAAUGCCGGCAUGUUUUGGUCUUCAAACUAUGUGGCUCAUGGCACUUUGGUCCUCAACUUAACUCUUUUUUUUUUUUUUUUUUUUGAGAAAUAGAUAGCACGCUACCCGCUUCGUUUAUUUCAUUUAGAAAUAAACUUAGCUGAAAAUGUGAAUCAACUAGGAUUCGAACUUGGAUCUCGGGUACCAACCACCAAGCCCUUUGCCACUUGCUCUAGGGACGCUCGGUCUCAACUUAACUUAUUAUAAUUUAUGUUUCGAGCAUUUACAAUUGUUGUAAGCAACUCUUGGCUCAAUUAAUUAGCUGAUUAAAUAUUGACGCGUUAUUGACAUAAGUAAUACAACAAUUUAAUUAUUAUCGCAUUAUUAGCCACAAUACUUUUACGUCAUUUCUGUAUUAAUAAUUUAUCAGCAUUUAGCCAACUAAGUUAUGUAGUGAGACUUGAUUACAAUAAUUAUAAAAGUUUAUGUUAAAAAUUACAAUAAAUUAAAGUUUGAGGACCAAAGCCUCACCUGACGCAUAGUUUGAGACCCCAGCGUGCAAUUUAUCCAUUCUGAUUUACUGUUUAUGUAAAGCGAUAUAUUAUUAUUAGGGAUAAUUGCCUAUAUAUCCCUCAAAACUUCGGAAAUAUCUCAUUUAUCCCUACUUUUUUUUUCUUUCCAAUAUACCCCUUAUAUGUUCCUCCGUUAUUCCAAAAUAUCCCGAUAGUUAUCAUCUGUUAAGUUAACGUAGGUUAAACGUAAAUUAAAUAUCUACCACAGUUAAAAAAAAAUUAAAAUGCCACUUUUGUCCUUAGCUUAAGAGCAAUUAAGAAAUAUUGGUGAUGGUAGAAUGGUAUAUUUGAAAAAAUCAAAAAGCAAAAUACUUUUCAUGCCCCUAUCUUAAGAGCAAAUAAGUAAAGUCGGUGCUGGUAGAAGGAUAUAUUAGAAAGAGCAAAAUAGUAAUUUUAUAGAGAUAACAGAGUUCAUUAACAGAUUUUAACUCUAGGGUAUAUUCGAAAUAUGUUGGAACGUAAAAAAAUAUUUUUAAUAUUAACCUUCUAAGAGGAAUAAAUCAGAAAGUCGAAAACGUUUCAGGGAUAUAUAAGCAAUUUCCCUUUAUUAUUAUUAUUAUUAUUAUUAAAGCUUUCAAAAUUGGUAACUUUUAGAACAGAUUAUUUAAUUGGUGUGAUUCUAUUCUACAGAUAUGUAUGAACCAUCCAACUAACUUCUCGUCAUCAAGUUUUGAAUUGUAAUUCAACAAAAUUCUGAAUGGUUGGAUAAAUAGUAUAGUAUAACUUAAGAAUUGAUACAAUUUUUUUUCAUAUAAAUAAUUGNUGUGGCGCAGUUCACUGAAGUCAGUAAUUGCCCACUGGGAACUAUUUUUAAUAGUUCUCACGCCCCUGUUUUCGUGGUUUACUUUUCAGAGCCUUCGGCACCGGCGGAGGCACGGGAUCGCGGCAAGGGGAUCGCUUAGCUAGCUAGCGAGGAGCGGUUCUUUGCCUAGGUGGUUUAUUCUUUCUUUUUGUAGUUGGGAGAGUGAGAGAUUUCUGUAUCCACGUAUAGAGACCACCUAUGUACCUACUUUUAGCACUUGCAUUCGGGAUUUCCUAUUGUAUUUACUUUAUGUCUUAUUUAGUGGAUUUACAGUUUAUCCUUGUCCUUGGUUGUAGCAUUUAGACAUUUAUUAUGCUCUGAUAAUCCUAGAUGUCUUUUAUUAUUGCUUUCAUUAUUGUUGUUUUAGACGCCUUGUACGUUUUAGACGUAUGGCGGGUCUGGGCACGUGCCGGGCAGGCUUCCGCUGGGUCUCGGGGCGUGACAGGUUAAAUCUAACGGUGGAAAACUUGAUAGCACCAAAUUCUUGGUGUUAUCGAUAGUAUCCCAGCCGGACUAUAUAUAUAUAUAUAUUUGUAAAAGUAGUAAACCCCGAUUUCAAACUUGAAUUUGAAUUCCCUACCGCUAGUAGGUACCAGAAACAUCCUCCUCCCUACUCCAGGACACAUGCACGGAGCACGAGAAAUUUUACAACGCAAGAACAACCAGGAAUAAAAACCCUCUUUGCGAUAAAAUCCCUUCUAAAACCUAAAUCCGUUGGUGCCAUUGGGUCCAGGACAAUCGAACAGUUGAAAAUGAGCUAUUGGAUCGCUAUGAAUGGAGUCCAAUACGCUCCAGAAGCCAUCUUCACUGAUUGGCCUCUCCGGAAAACCCGAGUUACUAUUCACUUUAAGUGAUUACUAAACGUCGCGUAACUUUUUCAUCCUAACUCGUUUUCUUCGGAAACUUGACGAGUGUUUAUGUAAUUAAAUUACACACAAAAAUAUCAUCAAUAUAGAGUUUAACUACACAGCUAAAUUCUCAAUCGUCACAUUAUCCCCCCCUUAAAAGAAGUUUCGUCUCCGAAACUUGACUACACACCUGACGUAAUCAAAUUCGUAUACCAAACCACUAUUGCGAUUUCUCCUUCGAGUUUUGAUGAUUCUCCCAAUUCAAAUUCUAUAUAGGCUUGAAUCUGGAUAGAUUAAUCCCUGAAGUAGGGGAGAACAAAACUGCAGUUCCACUCGGACAAGACGAGGGAAAACAUACCAACCCCAAAAUCUAUGGAUCAAAACCUAUCGGGAUCAACACCAUCCAAUAACCUGCUGAUAAAAUAGUACCUCGACCAGGAUUAUUCGAUCCCAUAUCUGCCAAAUCUGAGAUAAUAACUCACCACUUAGAAACUCUAGGUCCAAGACUUCACCUUUCGUCUAGGCCAAAAGGUCCAAGGCAAACAAUACCAAUCGAGCUUGACAAUUUUGUCUCCUCAAUAACUUAAUCCGGUAUAAUCAAACCAACAUAUGAUCCUUACAAGUCAUCACUUGAUGCACAAGGUUGCCAAUCGCAAUAUGCGAUAAUAACCAUCGGUGAUGCCCGACACCUGUCUCCACGAGACUCUGUCGCUGCCGUCCUAAAAGGGACUCAUGUUCCCAGCAACACCAAACACCUGUCUCAUUGAGACUCAGGCGCACCUGUUACCAAAUAACCGGACAAGCAUACUAUUCCAAAGUUUGCACGAUAAGUCAAGUCGCAAACCUUAUACGCUAUCACAUACCGUGACAAUCAAAACCAAUAAUCAGGCUCAAGCCACUCAUCAACCGUGAUACCGAACUUUCCGGCAAAAGACUGAGACUAACAAUCAUAGCAAACCUUUUAGUUGUGAAAGGUACAACUAUAGAGCUAAUGAGCACCCAGACUCAAACCAAAGUCAAAACCCUCUGCAUGCAGUGACGAUAAAUCAACCGCGCAAAUCCUGCUAGAGAAUAAUCUAAGGCUCACUACGUGGUCAGAGAUGACCAUCACUCAAGCUUUCUCACAAGACAAUCUUUAUAGUUUGUCUUGUGACCACACUGACCCAAUCCAGAUACUCUCCAGCAGGGAAAGGCAUUUCGUCUCAACUUUUGAAACUACGUUGUCUGCAGUCAACGUACUUAUCAAAAGAAAAGCGAAAUACCUGAAGAUCCACUGCCAACAACAAGUUGGAAGCGCGACAAAACGAAGCAUCAAGCCACCUGAUACAUCUUUAUAGAAUCAAAACUGUCGAAACAUCGACUUCAUAAGCCAAUUUUCAAAACGAUGACCCGUGACCUAGAGUCGCCACCCGCACAAGCCAGAGUGAUAGCAACAUGAUUCCGAACUUCAGCCAACCAGCUACCAACCCUUUGAGAUUCCCGACUAAUUCCAAUGAGUAGCUCAAAGCAUUCUCAAAGCCUACCGAUCCGAAAAUACACCAACCAAGGUGUUGGGCAGCCGAACACGACGUAUGCACCACAAGGACCCACACCAAAAUUAUAUCCCCGAAGCAGUUCCAAGUAUGCCCACAGGCCAAGUGAGCUGGCCAUAGUCAAAGCACCUACAUUGAUAAUUCAGUGAGUGACAACCUCACCGCGCAAUCCACUUGUGCAACUCGACCAAGACGUAGUUAACGAGCCAAGCAAACCCGCUCGAAAAUAUUAGCACAGAUCACCACGUCUUACCACCAACCCGAUUCAUACUCCCAAUCCUAAGAUUGAGAGUCAUGCCGCCAUAGCUAGGCGGGUCAGAUCACUCCAACAAAUUGUAUCUACGUGGAAUCCGGUUUGCUCCUCUCUCCUAGACACUGUGCCUCUAAUGGAGAAAAGAAGAAAAGGAUAGGCGUUACAGCCCUGCCCAUCAAACCUGGAGGAGCAAUACCUAUGCUGUAGCCUCAAAAGUGGCUGGUAAUGAAACCUCGGGUUGCAUUCCAGUAGCACGCACAGUAUCUGCGGCCGAAGCCGAAGAAAACACCGUCUCCGCAGGGAUACUCACAGAAGUACUCGUGCCCUAAGUAGGGAGAGUGGCCUGGGCACUGGUAGCUAAUUAAAAUAAUCGUCUAGGCCCAAAAAUAUUACCUGGCCCCUCAAGGCCCCCCCACCUGACAGAAGUGGUUACACCUGGUGUGCGUCACCCCGCCACUCGAUAUCUAUACAAGUACACCGCCACCACUCUUGACUGAGACACGAGUUUGUGCGAAAACCGUAGCAUAUACGAAAAACCACCAUGUACCUCGAGAUUGUUAAGCUCGACUAGCACACCAGGACUCAAGCUUAAACCCCGCACUCACGCGCCUAUAUACCGUAGGUCUUCCUAUAGGUCAACCUAACCAAUGGUUCAGUUUGUNCCCUAUUGCCCAGAUCAGGUUGGAAAAUCUUUCUAAUCUUUUAGUAAAAAUUUUUUAAAAAAUAAUUCAAAAGUUUAAUUUCAGUUUUAUAAAAAUUUUGAAAAAAAAUUAAAUAGUAAAUACUGUAGAUAAAAAGAUUAGAAAAGGCCUGUGGAUCCAGACGUGCUGAGCACUAUCUUAGAAGCGAAAUUGUCCAUCCACGUGCGAGGCUUUCCGGCAAUUACUUCUAGUGAUACAACAUCCACGCUCCACCUCGUCAGCGCAUUUUGGCGCAAAAUGAACCCAACAAGUUUCAGAUCCAGCGAAAUAUUAGAAAACUCGGUGGAAAUCAGCACAAAAUAUUAAUGGCGAGAAAAUAAAUGAUGUUACGCCCUGGUGUCCUUUUUUUGGUUUUAAAAAGGAUGCGGAAGUGUCCAAAAAUCUGUUCUUUUUUUUUUGAAGCCUUGACCCCAAGGGAUGUCAGAUCUGCCACAAAUAUGGGAAACCCACUGUUCACACAGAUAAAGUCUAUCCUAUAUUUGCACGGUGUCGCACAGUACAAGAUACGACCAUAUUGUAUACACAUCCAAAAACAAUCACCACAUCACAUAAACCACUUUCACAUUCAUUCCAUCACAAGUUUACCAUAUUUUCAUCAUAAAAUCACAUCUAUUAGUUUAAAACAUUUAUCACUCGAAAAUUCAUUUUGAAAUACUAAAAAUUAUGAAGAACGGUAAAACCUUUUUAAAACUGUUUUCCACACGAAAACUUUUUUCUUUAAAAACAAGCUACCACGAAGGGUAGAAAAUCAUUUCCAAUCUUUUACAUGAAAACCACGAGUACUUUAUUUAAUUUCACAAAACCAUAAACAUUUACUCGAAUGAAACCAUUGAACCAUAAAGUGUCUAAAUUAUUCAUUUUGAAUAAGCAAGGAUAGAACUAAACCAAAUCAACCGGGUCGGAAGCUCUAUCGACCGCUAAAUACGUGCCUCUCGCCUCGUCCCAAUUCGGACCAGCAACAUCACCUAAAAAAAAUGGUGGGGGUAAGAACAUAUACACAUGUCUCUCUUCUCAGUGGUUACCGCAAGCCGACGAAGGCGAGGGGUACUACUCACCAGUAAAGGAAGAGGUAACUAAAGAUAUAUAUAACGAUAAUGUAAUAGUAAUAACAAAUAAGGAAAACAGGAUAUACAUAUGCUACUACUACUACCAUAUGCAUGCAUCAACUAGACGAUCAGUCCCAAAUAUACCAAAUCUAGAAACCUGUCAUAUCAGUCCGCAAACCUCAAGCCUGUGCCAUUGCCACUUUACCUACAUAUAACCCAGACAAGGCCUCUGAGCUUACGGGUUGGCACUUUCAACCACUUUUCCGAAAAAAAACACACCCUUGCUGUGGAUCAGACCGCUGGUGUUCGUGAAAUGCGUACGAGUAGUGUCGAUCGAUGCUGAUAUGCACAAUAGCCAACCGUCGGCAACUAGCCGACAAUCCUACCCCUCAAGAUAUACCGACCGUGUAGGUCACCAAAUAGUCGAACCGACCAAAUAGGUCAGAAUACCAGAAACAAUGAACUGACCGAAUAUGUCACAAUACCAGAAACCAGGAACCAACCGAAUAGGUCACACGUCUCAAGUAUAAUCGCAAAUCCGUUAUACUUCUAAAUCAUGAUACUGGAUUUGCAAACUAACCAAGUAGAGCAAUAAUGAGAAAUAGUAAGGGUGCUUGGCUCAACACAUAAUAUGCAAAGUAAUAGUAAAGAAAAUGUGGAGAGAAUGUCAUCGAGCAUGUACCAUUGUACCGACUUCGGAUCAAAGUACCCACCUGUACCAGUGUAGCGCUUGCCUUUCGAUUGUGGAAGAACGUCAACCGGAUCUAUGAAGGGUCCACCAGGUUAGCAUCUAACCCACAAACAAGGAACACUAAAUCCACAACCCCACAAAUAAUCCCACGGCGAUCGAUUUUCUAAAACCGAUUACUGUAACUCGCCGGGAGUCCCGAAAAUCGCACCGGGACUCCGCCGGGAACCACGAAGUGUCGCGGGACUCACCGACUCGCACCACGAGUCACCCGCUGCCACACAACACCAUAAUAAAUGUGUCAUGGUAGCAAAAACAUAAUCUCACAUCAAAACGAUUAUCGUCAGAUAACCGUUCCAAUCCGAGUUCCCGAAAGUGUCAAUUUCGACACCGAAACCCACCAUCGCUCACCCGUCGUCUCCGAACCCUCGAAAAAACGUAGUUAACCAGCCAAUAAGGCUCAGCGGCAAAGUAUGAUACACUAAUGCAUCGUCGGAAGAAAUUCGAACCGAAACCGCAUUCCGUCGGCGGAUUUCGUCGAAGAACGCACUGAAAAUCGAUAUUCAAUUUCCGUAAAGGCUUCGGACCUUGGACAAUCAGUCCAGAGAUCACCCGCCACCCACACACACUGCCCACAGCAGCCACGAAGUGUAUAUUGCAUAAAAGUCCCUACAAUCACAUAAAAUCAUAUUAUUUUAUGUGAUUUCUGGGGUUUCACGGCUCGACAGCACAAACCGAGGGUUUUUGAGGCUGGCCGAGACACGCGCUGAUAGGUCUCGACGUGCUGAAGGCCAUGCUCGCGAUCCGGAGCAUAGCCGUCCACUGUGGAGAGCGGGGGAGUGACACAAAGUUUAGCGAACCCUACACACAGCGCUUAAACUGCGCAUAUUUCACAAACAGGGGCUCGCUGACCCAAAUGGAGAUGAGCACGAUGAUCAGCACCGAUUGGGGAUCAUUGUGCUCACUCUCGAAGGCAUCGGGGUGGCCUCGAAUCGCCGGAAUAGUGCAAACGACAUGAGACAGUGCAAAAACAACACUUAAAUAACUUACCGGACAUGGGGAGCUAGGGCACGGUCGGCGGUGGCUCGGCGGCGGCAAAUGGUUGCGGCCGGUGGAGGGAGGUUGGGGCUCGCGUUGUAAGGUACCGGACUUCCAAAACUAUUAAGUUACGGUGUACAUUCGAUUGGAGAGCCGUUUGAAUGGUCCCGGUGAAGUUUGAUGAGGUUCGGGAGCUAUCGGGCGUUUCAGUGCGCGUAGGCGCGGAAACGGAACCCGAAAGGCUAGGUUGGGCCGUGAGCUAAAUCCGGCAUUAGCGAGGAUGGAAAGAUGAUGAAAACAUGUUUGAAAACAUGUUUGGAGAGUCUCGGUUCGAUUUGAGACGAAUCGGAGGUCAAACGAACGAAAACGGGCGAAAACGGAGCGAAAANUUUUUUUUUUUCAAAACAAUCCAUGAGUGGUGCCGUGGUAGUAACGUGGCUCUGAUACCACUUUAAUCUAUCGUGCCCCGUGGUCCUUUUUUUUAGUUUUAAAAAGGAUGCGGUAGGUCCUCCGCCGACUCAAAAAUCGCGAUCUAACUAUCUGUUCAGUCACAACCUCUUAUGUGUGUGACUCCAUAGGUUCUAUUCUAUCUAGUAGUGAGAAAUAUUCUAAUCACUAUCAACAAUAUCACUGAAACUCCUUUCAGUAGGUCAGAACAAUUCCAACUCAGCCUAAUGAGAAUCAUCAGUUAUCUAAAUAAUUCUUAUGAGCCUCACAAUCCACCAGUGACGCCUGACAGCAUAUAGUGGCAUUCCAGUAGAAUAAAAUACUGAACCUCUUGGUGCAGUUACCGUAUGAUACAGUCAUUCUAUCAUGAGUCCCGACUAAACGGAGGUCAUGGAAUAACUCAUCAAACCCCAUCGUCUGUCAUAUAUCAAAUUUAUUCGACUCAAGUUUGUAAUAUCGUAAAUCCUUUUCCGCUAUUAACUCUACCUUGGCUAAGAUCUUCUAAACUCGGUCUCAUAAAUCACAUAGGACUAACGCCAUUUUCUACCAAGGGAGAUAGAUUCUAUAUAGGUGCACACCCUAUUUCUACAAUGAAUCUACCACAGCCAACAUACACCGCAAGGAUGGCUCGGGACCAAGUGUAUGUACAGUCAAACUACAGUAAUCUCAUUGUGAAUAGCCGAGACACAGCUGGUCAAAGGAUUAGUCACACUACUACAACAUUGAGUAAGUUACUGACGAGUGAGUAGACAUUCAAGUAACUUCUCGCGUUGGUCACACUCAGUACCCUUGUUCUCUAACAACCAUGUAUUCGCUCCAGUGUCCCCAUACUAUUAACUAGAGACUCGUCUACCUAAAAAGGAAGCGACCUAUGCACCAAUCUCACCAGAUCAAUCACCAUCCCCGUGAUGAUUCGUCAAUCGGGAGCAUUCAGGAAUUAACCACCAAUAACACAUAUCUCAAAUUCUCAACUAUUGAGAAUAUGUAUAAUCAUUUUAUUAAUUUCUUGGACGAUUCAUAGAUACAUACAUAACAUGAAUGAAAAUAAGAACCCAAAUUUAUUCAUAAUAUUUUAAAUCAAAUACAAAUUUAUAUCUUAAAAAGAAUAUAUGUGUCGGCCUGAUUGGCUUAUAAGGCAUACAUCUAAUAAUAUACUCCUUAGAGGAGAAAUUACAUGGUAACACGUGUUUCAUAUCGUGUGUGUAAAAGUGACUAUGAGGAAAAUGAGAUUAAAUAAAUAGAAUCCCUAUAUUCUCAUGGUGUAAGUUCCUCGAGACCUUAAAUAUAAAAUGAUCUCUUAAGUGCCUUUAGUAACUUAUGUCUACAUUCUGAUGUGAUAGAUCAAUAUUCGCUACUUUAGCAUAUUUCUAGCGGUGAUGAAAUAAUUAGCCUUAUGGGGCAUAUCUAGGAAAGUGGUUGGUCUAAAACUAAUAAGUAUGAGAACAAAAGGAAGACAUUUAGAUUAUGUCAAUCAUAUGUAUUCACCGAUCGACCAAUUAUGUUGCUUUUGUAGAAAAGUUCGAACAUAAUUAUGAAUACAUAGUAAGAAAAUAAAGAUUAAGUGUAGCCAUUUUGAGGGAUUAGGUACACGUAAUUUGACAUAACUAAGUUUGUUUAGGACAUAGCGAGUCAUAAUAUGGAUAAGAAUAAUAUAUCGUCUUCGGUUUUCAUAGUUAUUAUGUAUAUAUCCUUAACAGGUGCAUUGAUAGGCUUAUGAGUUGGAUCGUAGGUCGCACGACCUAUUUGUCAGUAUGAAAAUCACCAAGAUAAUUGGAAUUGUUUGCCCAUCACGUGCGAGUGGGAGAUAUUGGUUUUUGAAUCGAAUUUCGGGUCGCCCAUGAUGGGCAAAUUUGACCCGACCCAUUAAGUAAUGGUUUCCUUAAUUGGUUGGGAAACCACCCUGCACUACGUGCAGUUACAAACCACAACAGAGAGAAAAAGGGAGGAAUGGUGAAAACAGAUUACUCUCCUUAUCACUGUAAUGCAUUGAGAAUUUACCUCGAGCUAAUUGUGAUCAAAUUGAUCACAAUAAUGCUAAAAUAGAAAUUAAGGGUUUCUAAACCUAAUUAGAAGCUUAAGAGCAUCAAUUGACAGGUAUUGGAAGUGUGGGAAUAGAAACGAAUGGAAUUGGAAUGGUUAAAGAACUCCAAUUGCCAUUGUAACUCGAAAGCUGAAAUUCUAGUCAAUUUGGUCAAAAAUGAUCAAAUUAACACAAAAUUGAAAAUUAAAUGUUUCCAAAUUAAAUUGGUAGUUUGGGCAUAGAGAUUAGCAUGUUUUGGAAGUGUUGGGAUGAAAUCGGAGCGAGCUGGAUGUGAGAAACGGGCUGCCGAAGCUGCUGCUGCCAGCAGGGACUAAAUUGCGAAACUGCAGGGACUGAAAUGUAAAUCUGCAGGUUGUAAUGCACUUUUGCAAUUUUCAGGGGCUAAGCUGCAUUUUUCUGGACUUAUCUCUUUAAACCUGGUGGCUAAGGAAAGAUUGGGAAACUUGAUGUUGGCAGCUUGGGAGCUUGUGGGCUGAGAAGGAAACCUGACCCAAGCAGGGAAUUCCUGCUGAUUGGAGUUGCUGUGCAGAUUGAUUUAGUAUCUACUUAAGGCAGGUUAGUUAAUACCAGAGUUUAGUUGAUUAACGUUGCCUUAAGAAUAUUCUAAAUCUGAGAAUUCUUGCUGCUAGUGCUUGUUGUCCUGGAAGUGAGCUGAAUUAAACCAUCGAAUUGGAGUUUUCAGCAGAGAGGAGUUGAGUGGAGUGCUGAAUUGAAAUUACAGCUGAGGAAAAAUCUGGGAGAAGUUUGAAUCCUGGUAAAUGAUGCUAAAUUCCUAAGUAGAAUGUGAUUACUUGUGUAGAAUUGAUGAGUUGUUGAUGCCGAAAUUUCAGACUUGCAAGUGGGUGUUGUUGGUGCUGUCGAAUUCAUGAACUCAGCUGAAAAAGCACCAAAUUUGCAGAAUUCGAAGAGGAGGUCUGGUGCAAGCAGGGAAUUCCUGAUAUUGUAGCUGCUAAGCCACUUGAUAUUAUACUUAGUUAAGGUAAUUAUGAGUUGGUAUUAAGUUAUUUGGGUAAUUUUGUUGUUAAGAUCAAGAAUCACUUAAAUGGAAUACCUUAUUAAGGUAAGUUGGAUCUGGUACUUGAUUGUAGGCAAGUUAAUUGCCUUAGAAUGGAUUUCUAAACACUCAGAUUGAAAAGAAGUCUAGUAAAGCUUCAACUCUGAUAUGUUAAGGUUAAAAGUAGGAGUUAUAUUCGCUUAUACACGCAAAUUAAAGUCUUAAUUGGCUGUUGGAGAGGCAAAUUUCAGCAUGGAAUUAGUGAUUGAUAAAGCUGAAAUUGAAUUGAUUAAGUGACAAACCGAGAUAAUGAUGUUAUAAUUAGGAAUUACAUUAAUUACUCAAGAAGAGUUCUAAGCAUAAGAACUAAUUGUUCUAUGCUUAUAGUGGCUACACAAUGGAAAGUAUUAGUGCUGAAAUUCAGCAUGAUGCAGGAAUUUAGCUAGUGCAGAAUUUCAGCAUUUGGAAAUGCUUGCUAUUGGAGUCGAGAUAAAUUAAUUAGGCAGCAAAUUAAGUUACAUAUAAGUAUGUUAUAUUUGGGAUUCAGUUAAUUAUAACAGAGGGAUGUUAACUAGGAGUUUUAUGGGUAUUUGAGCUAAGGAAAACUCGAAAACUGCAUUGAUGGAUUCCGAGUGAACUCUAUUAAGCUACAUAUAGUAUGUGUAUAUAUAUGUACAUAUAGGUGUUUGUGAACAAAAGGUUAACAUGGAAAACUAAAUUGAGAUAGUUCAAUUAGGGAUCAGUAUAAGAGGAAUUGUUAUAUAGAGAUGAAAUUAAAGGUUAUGUAAACUCCUAGUUAUCAUUCAGCUCAAGAUUGAGGGUAUAUUGCCAUUAUACUUACACAUUGAGGUUCAAUGCAAGUUUUGCUGAAAAUGAAUAUGACGUCAGUUUAAGCUCUCCUAUUCUUAUUUGAAUGAAAAUUAAACUUGCUCGAAAGUCUAAAUUGACUUUCCGACAGGUCGACGACGCGCUAAUUACGAUUGAGGCCGUUCUAGUUCUAUUUGCACUGACUCGCAAGAGCGUGUUGUCGACACACUUCGAGACGUGAGAUUCUAGUUGUUGACACCACUACAGGUGGGUGGUGCUAUCCGAAGUCUUUGAAUCACCUUUUAUGUCUAUGAUAUUUCAUUGAACAUAUUUACUUUGUAGUCAUGCAUUAUAGGGUAGUGGCAUUGUGAAGGUGAUAUUUGAAUAUGCGAAUGCUUAUCAAUAUUGAGAAAAUGUGAACUUAGAAUGUGGACAUAGAACCCUAUGAAUGCAUGAACUAUAACAAUAGUAAACUUGGUGACAUUUUAACUAGAGAUUUGGUUAGCAUCGAAAAAUAAAAUUGCAACUAGCAUAAAGAGCUAGUUAGAGUUAAAGUGUGACAUUGUCUGUUGUUGAAUCUUCUAAAGGAGGAUCAGAUCAUACUCACAUAGUCUGUUUUGAGCUUGGUGGUGGUCGCUCCACCCAAGCAGUGCACUCCGGAGUGGUCACUUGAUGGGCUAAAGUAUUUGCCCUUGGACUAAAGUAUCUGUCCAGCAGACGGUCCCAUCGGGAGGCAACUUAGGGCCCGUCAGGGAUUGAGUUGGUGAGUUACAGUUAACCAAAUAGUUAGCUAGAUUGAUUGAGUAUUGGUACAUUACAGUAUGCAUGCAUACUCACAGUUUUCAUACAUCAUUUCUUUCAGCUUGUACAGGCAUUGUAGUAAUUACAUGUUUCGUUGGUUACUAUCUGUUUACUUUUUUUGCCUACAUAUGCCUGAGUAGACCUAGUGGGUGAGUCGGCGAGGUCGGCGGCCGAACCCACUAGGAACUUUCAGUAGUUCUCAUAUCACUAACCUUACAGGUUCCAGUGCGAGCGGUGUGGCCGAGGAUCGUGGCAAGAGCCCCGCAGCUUAGCUAGUUGACACCAGAGUAUAGUAGUUACCAUUUUGAGUUCAUGUGAGACAUUUUGAUGUACAGAGACAUGUAAAUGAAUGUAUCCUAAAACAUGUAAAUAACUAAGUGUUUCAGUUAUACAGUUCAGUUUGAAAGUUUUAAAUUACAGUGAAUUUUCAGUAUAGCUAGCUUACUAUCACUUGUGAGUGUUGCUUGCCCUCGUGCAAGCCAUAUAUAUUGAAAUGUUAUACUGGGAAUUGUUUAUUUCUUUAUACAUGUACUCGUUGUUGUUGAGCCUUGGGCGGACAGAGGAGGUUCUGUCCGUUCGACGCCUGUGUACGAGCCCGGAUCGACCAAAUUGGCGAUAGCGGGACGUGACAAUCACUCUUUUGGAUAUAGAAAUAUUCCUAAAUUUUUACUCUCUUUUUAGAGAAUUUGACAUUUGGGUUGUGGAAACUAGUGCAAUUUUCAUCUUGUGAUCUUGUAUUUGAUCCAUUGGAGCGAGUGGUUUGGUUUAGUCCUAUUUUAUCACGACCCACGAAUUGAAAUUGAAGUAUUUCAAAGACUAAAUUUUACUUUCAACUACCAAAGCGGAAGGCUCAACCCUCCAGAUCUGAAGAAGGCAUAAAAUAAAAACAAUGAGGAUAUAACUAAUGAAGGUUAAUAGAUAGUAACUAAAUGUUGUAAUGAAAGCAACUAACACUACAACAAAAACGGUCUAUAGCGACACUUUUAAAUGUAGGUACAUGUCAAAAAAGUGCUGCUAGCUAAAAUUACCGACACUUUUAAAAAGUGUUGCUAUAUGUGGGGUUGCUACGUAUAUAGUGACAGUUAAAGAGUAUCACUAUAACCUAAAAGAGUGCUGCUAAUUUACUAACACUUAUUAAACCAUUUAGCAACCGCCGAAACUCUAUCUCGUUGGCUGUGGUAGGCGGAGGAGAACAACAGGAAAGGCUCUUCGUCUAGAAUUUCAGUGGAUUGAGUGAAGAGAGAAGAAAAGAUGGCACUUGAUUUUUCUUUUUUUUUUUCUUUUCUGUUUGUAAUCGGGCCAAAUAGACUGGGUGGUGGGUUGAGUAGAGUAAUCUUUUAUUUUUGGUUGGAUUGGGCUUUAUAUUUAGGCAUUAGUAGAUGUUUUUUUUAAGUUUUAGCAUAAAUGGGACACUUACUCAAAAGUGUCCCAAACAUGUGUCCCUAUAACCUAAUUCUGUUGUAGUGUAACUUAUCCCUCUGUAAGAAAAGCUCAAGAUAUCUUAACAAGUUUGUACUAUUUACUUCAUGCAUCAAGUUCUUAUUACUUACCAAUUUGAUUUACAAUCAAUAAGAACCGAACCCAAGGUCAUCCUAACUUGUGCUCAACUUAAACUUUUGGUAGCGAAAUCGCCACACACGCCUUAGACAUGAAAGUUUAUGGAUGGCAAAAUCGUCGCACACAUCCUAUCCAAUCAAUAAGCAAUGAAAUCGUUGCAUAUGCCUUAUUUGUGGUCUACAGCUCCGGAAGGACCCGGCUCAUAGGGACACAACCCCAAAAAAGCAAAUUUCAGCAGGCUAACAGCCUUUACAAACAUCAAUCAUAUUCACAUGCUCAAAGGGUCAUGGUUCAACAACCACACCAUUGUCCAAUAAUUGACUCGAUCAAUCAAUGUCUAACCAAGCUAGGUACAAUAUCACUAUUGUCCAAGAAUUGACCCAAUCAAUCUUUGUUCUCAACCUUUGUUAGGUGUCACUAUGUUUAAUGAUCGACUCGAUCAAUAAUCAUUUCACUCUAUGUUCAAUGACACUAUUUCUCAACAACUAGAUUCUUAUGUCAAGUUCUCCAAUCUAUAUCUAGAGAAUGUCAUGCUCGUUUAUGAAUUCACAACAUAGGUGUAAAAGUCUAUAAUCAUAUAUACCAUAAAGAAUAUAGGAGUCCUACAAGUCAUAGUAGCUAUUUUGACCAUAAGAAAUAUGUCAAUUAUAUAAAUACUAGUAUAUCCAUCUUUACACCAAAAGCUACCAUACUACACAAGAGAGGCUCAAGAACGAAGUUCUUUAUAUAUGCGCCACAGUUCUGGAUAGCACAACCCAACUUAAGACGGUGCCCAAUUCCAAGUUCUAUGAGAAAAUCAGCCAAGUUCAGAUUUCAAUUUCUAGAAAAAGCCAACAAAGUCACCUUUGUUGAUAAUUAGAGGUCAAAAUGUUGCAGUUUCAUCAUAAUUUAUUGCCUAGAAUUAGUGUUUCGGUGAGUUAGAUUGUUUCGAAACCCUCUCAAGGAGUAAAACCCCCAAUUUUAACCUAGGAUCUAUAUUAUAUAUUAAUUGGCACUUCCAUAUCAUUAGUAAAAAAGCUCUCUAAGAGAGCCACAUAUUCCAUUAGCAUAUAAGCCAAUAAAAGAUUGCCACAUGUUCAAUAAAUAUUUUGGACGCAUCUAAUGCACCGUUAACUAAUUCUAAAUUAUGCAUCAAAAAUAAAUAUCUGUAAUACAAUAAAUUAUUUAAAUAUUUUAUAAUAUAUAUGUAGUAUCCCUAGAGUUCUGUAGCUGUGAGAUUUCUGCAUCUGGGGCUUGUCGACACACCUGGAGAGUGUUGGAACAAGUCCGAGUCGUUUUGGUGCAAAAUAGACGCAAAACAGACUCGUUGCGACGCGAGAGCAGGAUUUUAGCAUUGAAAUCUGCAAAUUGUAAAUUUUCAGCAAUGUGUACCGGUACCACAUAGGGGAGUACCGGUACCCCAGUAUAGAUUUUUCGACUGCUGCUCUCGGGUUGCAACUUCUGAUGAGGGGUACCUAUACGGCAUCGGCCUGGUACCAGUACUCCAGGGUAGGUGAGGGGCAGUUUAGUCCUUCAUUGUGUCGUUCAACCCAAUGUCACCCCAGCCUUUUUAUUGACAGAGAGAGGGUUGUGGCUUGUUUUUCUUUCCCUUCUCCUCUCUCUCUCUCUAGCUGGUGGACCGUGCGUGGUGGAGACCUCGGGUGGAGCUCGGAUAGACGUCGACGUUGCGCAGGGAAGUCGUUCGAGUGUGUGCGCGACGUGGUGGUAUCGUUGGGAGGCCGAACGAGCACGUGGUUCCACUUCUUUCGACUUCUCGCCGUUGUUGGACGCGCUUUUGAGGUGGGUUGAAGUUAAGUUACCAAAAUUUUCAGAUUUUCUCCUAAGCCUCAGUUGAUAGGAUGUGUCAUUGGGUUUUGUAUAGCAUGUUUAGUAGCUCGAUUCGUCGAUUUGCAUUGUUCUUAAAUGAAAUCUGAAUUGGAGCUUAGAAUGCUAGUUUUAUUAUACAUGUUGGACUUAGAUUUGACUUAGGAGAAAACUAUAGGUUCUACACUGUCAUUUUCUAAAAAAAACUAACAGAUUUAGAUUUAGAAGCUGUAGUUAGUUUGUAUCGCCGCAAUUUGUACGCGGUGGAUACACAGAAUAUUGUAGAAUGAAAUUACGCUCGUGCUGGGAUGCUGAGUUUAUUUUUACAGUAGUGUAUAGACUGUUCCGGACUGUCGGUUGCCGUCGCUGUUGACAGUGGACCCAGAUUUCUGUAUUUUGCAUCAGAUUGUGCCGAGGGCAUGUUUAUUAUUGUUGUUAAACCAAUUAGACCUUUCUGUUCUGAUUAUAGCCUGUGAGAGCCUAAUUGAGCUCGGAAGAGAUAUACUUGCAUACUCGGUUGGGUAGCGCCCACGAGUGCCACUCCAGAGUCGGAAUCAGUACUUUUGCGUUGUUGUCGUUGUGUCCUGAUUGGACUCGCUUUCCACUAACGACCCAGCAUGGUGGUAGUUAGUGUAGCUUCGACAGGCGGGACGGGUGUGUUCACAGUCCCUAGUGAGAUUGGGUCAGAUAUUGUAUUUUCUACAGAUAGUUAGUGUUGGAUCGUAAUAGUAUAGUUGCAUAUAGCUGUAGACUUGUUCCAACUUCCUGUACUAUCUUUGAGCAUACUUCUGUAGACUUAGUGGUGAGCCGUUGAGGUCGGUAGCGGUACCCACUGAGGACUACUUCUUUUUGCAAUAGUUCUCACACCCAGUUCUUGACCCUUUUUUGCAGAGCCUUCUUCUUCGGCUGCUGCUGUUGCGGAUUCAGAUCAUGGAAAGAGAGUCGCGAGUUAGAUCCCUUCCCGUUUUGCUGCUGAUCUAGAAAUAUACCAGCUACAGGUAGUGUUGGUUUUUGGUUCUUGUACAUACUGAUGUUAGAUUCUCGCUAGAGCGAGUGUUAUGUAUCUAGAGACUAUGUAUGUAUAGAGAACAUGAUGUUAUUUAUAUAUGUUUUUCAGUUUAGCAGCUCUAUGCUACUAGUUGUAGUUUUGUAUGAUUAUAGGUACAUGUACAACUAUCGCUUCGUAUAUAGAGAAAAAUUUUUUGUAUACGGCGGAUUUGUCGGCGUGUCCGAAAAAACGAAUAAUCCGGGGCGUAACAAUAUAGUUUAUAUCAUAUUUUAUUUUACAGUAUUAAUUAUCAAAUACUACAUCAAUCAUUUUAUCUAUACUGUAUAUUAAUUGGCACUUCCAUGACAUCAAAAGAAAUUAAGCUCUCGAAGAGAGUCACGUACUCCAUUAGCAUAUAAGCCAAUACAAUAAAUUAUUUAAAUAUUUUAUAUUACAUAGUUUAUAUUAUAUUUUAUUUUAUCGUAUUAAUUAUCAAAUACUAUAUCAAUCAUUUUAUCAUACUAUAUAUAAUUGGCACUUCCAAGACACAAAGGAAAGCUCAAGAGCCACGUAUUCCAUUAGCAUAUAAGCCAAUAAAAGACCGCCACAUGUCUGAUAAAUAUUUUGGACGCAUUUAAUGCACCGUAAACUCAUUCCGAAAUAUGCAUCAAAAAUAAAUAUCUGUAAUAUAAUAAAUUAUUUAAAUGUUUUAUAUUACAUAUCUAUCUAUACUAUAUAUUAAUUGGCACUUCCAUCACAUCAAAAGAAAGCUCUCUAAGAGAGCCACAUAUUCCAUUAGCAUAUAAGCCAAUAAAAGAUAGCCACAAAUCCGGUAAAUAUUUUGGACGCAUCUAAUGCACCGUAAACUAUUUCUAAAAUAUGCAUAAAAAAUAAAUAUCUGUAAUACAAUAAAUUAUUUAAUUAUUUUAUAUUAUAUAAUUUAUAUUAUAUUUUAUUUUACAGUAUUAAUUAUCAAAUGUUCUAUCAAUCAUUUUAUAUUUUGUAUGGUAUAUAGAGUUUUAGUGUGCACCAGACGUAAGAAAGAUUUCUUCUUUCUCUCAAAAUUAUAAGUGCACCCUAUAAAAUAUUUUCUGCAUCAGGUGUAUAUGUAUAUGGACAUCGCAUACUUAAAAUCCUUUAAUAGAAAUUUUAAAAUUAAUUUAUUAAACUUUUGAUAUUAAAACAUUUGUCAUCUAAUAUAAGUUGCAAUGUAUAAAGUAUUAAUAUAAACCAGGUGCAUAUAAUAAUCUCUUCUUUUUCCAAUCAGUUUUAACAAAGUAAAAAACACCUCUACCUAUUCUUUAAUUUGAAAUAAGUCCUCAAACUUUAACUUUUUAGUUAAAAAUAGCAUUAAAUAUUAUUAAGUUUAUUUAAAUUUCCAAAUAAUGAUAUUAGAAUAAUUUAACUUUACAAUAUUGAAAGUUGAGAAAUAAAGUUAAUUUUUAUAGUAUACAUUAUAGAUUUUUAUCUUUUUUAGUUAUAAUUUUUGUAACUUUAAAACUUUAAUAACUAUAUAUUUUAAUUGACUGAAAUAUUACUUAUCUGCCGCGAAGCUCAGGCCCUGUACUAGUUACUACUAUUUCCAAGAAAUCCUCAAAAAAGUUAUAAAUCUCUCAAAACAUAUAUUGUAGAUUCCUCCUAGAGGUUUUGAAAAUUUUAUUUCUUUUAAUGUUUACCUGAAAAUAAUAUUUACCUCAAACCCUAGUAAGAAAUUAUAAGAAACUUACCUCAAACUUCUUGUCAAGGUAGCUUCUCAAAGCCUAGAGCUUGCUCCGCCUACUAAAGAACCUCCUCCACUUGAUCUUGUUUCAAGAUCCUCAAUCUAAUUGAAAAGUAGCUAGGAGAGGCGGAGAAGAGACUAAGUUAGAAAGCGGAAGAAGAUAGAAAGGGUUUCUUUUGCUUGGGGAGUAAAUGUGAGGGAAAAGAAAGUAAUUUGGUCUAUUUAUAGGCACACAAAAUUGCACAUAAAUUCUCAAAAAAAGAGUCUGCAACAUACAUAUAAGACUACUCGUUUGCUGAAGAUCCAGACUUCUUAUUGGAAAUCCGAAACCCGAAGUGUUCCUACGCUCUGCGUGACUGAGGUCCGGACUCCCUGAGGAAGAUCCGAAGCAACGGGACACUCCCAACCUGACUAUAGCAUUUUGGAAGAUAACUAAGUUUAAGAGAUUAAGAGAGUUAAACAUGCUAAGAUUAGAGUAGUUAUAAGAUAGGUGACCCCUUGGGAAGUAGAAUGUCACAGUUAAAAAAUCCGAAGAUUUUCUGCUUAUUAAUUAACCAACUUGGAGAUUUGGACUCCUUCAUCAAGGUCCCGACUUUCAAGCUUAGAGUCUUACACCAUCUUUCAGAUUCCAGACUUCCUCAAUAAAGUCCGUAAUCUGAAGUUCUGGGAACUCCAAGAAAUUUUGAUCUUGAAGAUCCAUUUUCACGUCGUUUUCACCUCAAUUCAAUUCCAACUUGCUCAAAACCUCUUCAAAUUCUUUCAAAUAGUGACUUUAUACUACUUUAUCCGCACAUUUCCCAAUUUGAUCAAAGUUCAGCGCAUUAUACUGAAAAACAGUAUACUACAUUAUUCUACAUAUCUAUUUACAUGAGAAUUUAUGCUUCACUUUUUUCUUUUAUAUUAUGAGGCAAAUAGGCCUAAAUAGUUAUAAAGAUAAAUAAUUAAGAUUAGAAAACAAAAAAAAAAAUGAAGCAUAAAUUCUCAUGUAAAUAGAUAUGUAGAAUAAUGUAGUAUACUGUUUUUCAGUAUAAUGCGCUGAACUUUGAUCAAAUUGGGAAAUGUGCNUUAUGCUUCACUUUUUUCUUUUAUAUUAUGAGGCAAAUAGGCCUAAAUAGUUAUAAAGAUAAAUAAUUAAGAUUAGAAAACAAAAAAAAAAAUGAAAAAAAAAAAAACAGAAGAGCACCACCAACAACAAAAUGGAACAACCUUUACUGCUUCGCCAAUGAUGAAGUAGUACACAUAUCACCAUGCUUAAUUAAUUUCACCAAAUAAAAUUGCUACUUCUAUACUCAAAUCAGGGGUGUAAAAUUUUGCACCUUUUAAUUCAAGGGUUUUAAAUAGGAAUGCCAAUAGAUUGGUUUCGGGAUAGUUUUUUGUGAGAUAUAAAAUUGAACCUUCAUAAAAACGAAAUCCGAAACCUUACUCGACCCUGCUGGGUUUACAAACUUAAAAACCGAAUUUGAACGUGAAUAAUAUAAGAAACUCGAAUGCGGAAAUGGAACCUGACUAUUUAAUAUAAUAAAUAUUAAAUUAUAUCAUUAAUAUAUAUUCGUUAUUAAAAUAAAUAUAAAGAAAAUUAGAUUAUAUAUAUAAUAAGUUUUUAUAUGGGUUCAUUUCGGAUACAGACGAAAACCAUUGGAAUCCCUAGUUUAGAAUUUUUUAAAAAAACUUUUAGUAUUAAAAAUAUAAUAAUAAAAUUAGUGAGAAAAUAUUAGCCAUUAGAUGAAUUCGGUGUAAAAUUUACAUCCACUUUUUUUAUGUCCACCAUAGAGCAUUACUCUUCAUUAAUUCUAAAAAUUAGGAUCGGAUUUUAAAAAUAAGAUUGUUAAAUACUCUAUUGAGUCGAAAAUCACUUUUAAAUUCAAAUUCACUUUUUAAAAGCGAGGCGAAACACCCACUAGGUCUCUUUCUUAUUUCCAUACUAGUCUCUUUCUUAUCUCCAUACUAGGGAUGUAAAUGGAUAUGGGUACCCGAAUUUUAUCCUAUUCCAAAUCAGAACGAAGCGGAUUUUAUCCGAUGUAAAUGAAUAUGAAUUCAGGUAUGGAUAUUAAAAAAAAAAAAUUCUGACGGAUUCGGGUUCGGAUAUGGAUAUUUUAAAAAAUCUGAACCCGAACCCGACCCGAACCCGAAAAAAUUUAAUAUAAUAUAAUAUAUAUAAAAAAUUUUAAACCAUUAAAUCUGAAUCCAAAGGCCAAAAAAGUACUUACACUUUUAUAAUAUAAAUCAAAAUACAUAUAUCUUUAUAAUCCAAACCCUAAUAUUCAAAAAUCAAAAUCUUCCUAUUUUCCAAACCCAAAUCCUAAUAUUCAAAAAUCAAAACCUUUUCAUUUCCCAAACCCUUCCAUUUCCAAACCCUAAGGCGAUUGGUUCGAGUUAUGUAAUAUUACAAGUAUCUCGACAUAUCCAGGUAUCUUAAAUUUCGGCGUGAGAUUACUACUGAUGCUAUAUUAGUGGGUUUGGUUUAGCGUAUGUUUGGUUGUUCGUAAGUGAUGGAAGUGAAAAAAAUCACUUUUCAAAAAGUGGCUUUUGUAAAAGUCACUUUUGAGUUCAAGUAUUUGAUUUCAAAAAAGUGGAAGAAAAAAAAUACAAUUUUUAUGACUUCUAUUAUUUGGUUCUAUAUAAGAAAAUAAAAAAAUAAUUUUUUUUAUAUGCUUUUUUUUCUUUGUAGAUGAGUCUCUUUGUUUUUUUUAAAAAAAAUGUGUUGGUUUUUUUUUUAUUAAGAAACGGUGGUUUUUUUUAUUUUUUAUUUUUUAUUUUUUGUGGAUGGUAUGGAAGAAGAUUUUGGAUGCGGUUCGUAAGUCGCGUAGAGUAGGCGGCCCACUUUCAACUGACUUCGGAUUUUUUUUUUGCCGAAGUCAAAACGUGGAUUUUAGUUAUAAUCCACUUUAUGGGUUCAUUUUUCAAAAGUCACUUACAUGUUUACUUUUAUAAUCCAAACAAUCAAAAUAAUCCCACUUCGUCAAAAUACCACUUUUAUUGUUUCACUUACGGGUAACCAAACAUGCCCUUAAUGUAGUAAUGUAAUACUGGAUUGCAAUAUUUAUAGUAUUACUACGUUUGGUUUCAAUCUAUAAAAUUUAGUAAUCCUGACAUAAAAAUAUAGUUUUUUUUCAAAAUUGCCCUUAUUGUGGUCAUUUGAAUAUUAUUUUUCCAAAAUAUAAUUUGCACUAGUAAAUUAAUUAUAUUAAUAAGAAAUAAAAUAAAACGACUAAACAUGAAAAAAAAAAUUAACGUUGCAAAAAAUUAAUUUCAACUCAUAAAAAAAUAAAUGAAAAAAAAAUUAUUAUACAUAAUGAAGAAGUGAUUAAAAAGUAUGCGAAAAUGGCGAAUGGAGGGAAGGAGAUCAUGAUGUAGGAGGACGACACAAUAAAAGAUGAUAGGUGUUUGUGCGAGAGAGAAAGAAAGAGAUAGAGAGAGAGAGAGAGUGCGCGCGGCGUGCGAGAGAGAGAGAGCGAGAGAGAGUAGCGUGCCAGAGAAAGGGGGGAGGGCGUUAGAGAGAGAUGAAAAUAAUGUUGUUAAUUGAGUUUGGGGGUGUUGCAGGGUAAAAUUUUUAUUUUACAUAAUAUGUAGUAUUACCGAUUUUCAGUAAUGCAAGAUACACGACCCCCUUCUCGUUAAUAUUUUCGGUAUAAUUCUGCUCGAUUUGUAAUACUAUAUUAACGACUAGAUUACAUAGUGGAUGAACCAAACACAGUAAUCUUGAUAGAAUUGCCUGUAAUCCUGUCAGGAUAACUCGAAGUAAAGAUACCUUAAUAGUUAAAACCUUAAAAUAGAACUAUUUCAAAACCUUCCCAUUUCCUAAAACCUCAAAAUAGAACUAUUUCAAAACCUUCCCAUUUUCUAAACCCGCUCUAUCUCCAAACCUUAAUAAUUGAAACCUUAAAAGAGAACUAGAGAAGUGGUUGUAGACUUGUGUAAUCUCUUAUUCAUUAUUCUCUAAGAGGGUAUUUUGAUUUAUUGUUUUCUCUCCAAGAACCACAACCUCAAACCUAAGAGAAAAAAAGGUGAGAAUUUUUUUAAAAAAAAAAUUGAAAAUUGAAAUUGCUUCUUUGAUGUGGUUUUUUUUUAUUCUUCAUAUAUGUCUUUUUUUUUUCUUAUUUUUUAAGUUUAGUUUUUUAGUUCUUGUAAGUUGUUUGACAAUAGAACUGUCUUUUUUUAAAAAAAAUUUAAGAAAUUUUCGUUUUAUUUUUCUCUUAAUUAGUAUUUUAACUUUACUCUCUUAGAUCCUGUGAACUGUUGGGCAAUGAAACUAUUUUUAAAAAAAAAAUUUUAAAAUUUUUGUUUUUAGUUUUUUGUAUAAUAAUUUUUGAAAUUUGAUAAAUAUAAUUUUCGGGUUUGGGUUUUCGCGUUUAGAAUCGGGUUUUGGGUUUUUGGUCGGAUUCGGAUUCGGAUUUUCGGUUUCGGAUUUUGGAUUUUUAAUCAGGUUCGGGUUUAGAUAUGGAUUUUUAAAAUUCGUCGGGUUCGAGUUCGGAUUCGGGUUUAGAUUUUGAAUUUGAUAGUCAGAUUCAGAUUUGAAUUUUUAAAAAUCCGUCCCGAAUCCGACCCCUUGACAUCCUAAUCCAUACUACCAAAACGUCUCUCUCCAGGCCAGAAAAAAAGAACCACAUGCACCAAAAAAACCUAUCAAAAGAAGCCACAAAAGUAGCACUAAGAGAGAGAGAGAGAGAGAGAGAGACACACACACACACACACACACCACCUUCUUGGGGAGCCCUGAUGCUAUUCUCCUCAUGCAAACAUUACGAAAUUGAAGAAAGCAAGAAGAAGAAGAAGAAGAAGAAGAAGAAGAAGAAGCAGCAGCAGCAGCAGCAGCAGCAGAAGAAGAAGAGCAUUGAUAGUGCAGCUUUUCUUCAUGAUCAGAAAUGGGGUUCCAGCGGCAGAAGCUGUAUUAACAGCUCAACCAGAUCCCUGAGAACAGCUCCUGAUGAGAACACCACUAGAGCUGCUUCCUACUCUUCUUGUUCCCCUGCGAACUCAGCAGCAACCAUCACUACCAGUUGUUCUUUACCUUCUUCUCUAUCCUCUCCUGGUGGUGGGUCUUUCAGAGGAAUGCAUCAUCUGAGGAAGCUCUCUGGGUGUUAUUAUGAUCAGCGCCAUGCUGUGGUUGGCCCAUUUAGUUGGGUGUCAAGAGACCCUUCUCUGAGGGCCACUGUUUCCCCUUGCCCUCACUGCGGAGAGAUUUUUAUGAAGCCUCAGAGUUUGGACACUCACCAGGCACUUACACAUGCAGGUAAAUAUUAAUUUGUAACCAAUCUUCUGUUUUCUUUUUUUUUUUUUCAUUUUUUUCCUUAUAGAAUUCAAGAAGCCCUUUUAGCGUUUUUAUGUUUCUUUCCAUUUUUUUUAAAAAAAUAUUUUUUACUAUAACUUUUGGUUUAAUUAUCAGAUUGUUAAAAUGGAUUCUCUGAUCUCUCUCUCCCUCUCUCUACAAGCAAUUAUUAGUUAUAUGGAAUAAUUGUUGGGCUUCUUUAUUUCUUUUUUUUUUUUUUCCUUUGGGCUUGCUUUUGUCCUGUUGAUUCCUCCACAGCUGGAUGUGUUGCAAAUAUAUUGUUUUAUAAUAAUUGGUCUCUCUCCAAAAAAAAAUUCCAUUUUCUCACCCAAAACAAAAAAAAUAAAAAAAACAAAAAAAAAAACCCAUUUUCCCCCCAAAAAAUUGGCAAUCUGAAGUAGAAACUUAACCAACUAGUGAUUAAUUCUUUAUGGAUCUUACUAUUUAAUUUGUUGAUUACCAACUACCAUGUUGAUUUUAAUUUCAGUCUCAGAAUUGGGCCCUGAGGACACCAGCAGGAACAUAGUGGAGAUCAUCUUCCACUCAAGUUGGCUCAAGAAACAUGCACAGCCCCCAGUUUGCAGGAUAGACAAAGUACUCAAAAUCCACAACACCUCCAAAACCACAGCUAAAUUUGAGGACUACAGAGAAACCAUCAAAACUAAGGCCAACAAGCUGCCCAAGAUGUACCCAAGAUGUAUCGCGGACGGAAACGAACUACUAAGGUUGCAUUUGCAAUAAAAAUUUUACGUUCUGUUUGAGGAAGGACUGAAUGUGAUUCAUUCAUUCAUUCAUUCUGUUCUUUCAAACUUAGCCAUCAAAUUUCAAAUUAUUAUUAUUUUUUACGAUUUUCUAGAAGAAGUAGUUUGAUUUUAUGGAUUGAAGGGCAUUCAAGCUCGACCCCCAUAUAAAUUUGUAUAUAUAUAUAAGAUGCUCUUUCAUAGAAUUUUUGUUCAUUAAUUGCACCACUCACUAACUUAAUUGUUAAUUUCUUUUCCACUCACUAACUUAUUUCCUGAUCCUAAUGAAAUUGUUCAACAUGAUACACUAAUUACUAAUCUUUUUUCGUCGUCGUCGCCGUCGAAAGAACAGGUUUCACUGCACCACUAUCGCCUGCUCGUUAGGGCUCGACCGGUCGGCUGUGCUCUGCUUGAACCCAAAGUGCAAACUAUGCAGAAUCAUACGCGGCGGAUUCGCACCGGACUCGCUGGGGAGAAUAACUACAACAGCGAGCAGCGGGCGGGCGGACGAAACGGUUCGGAGAAUGUCGUCGGACGGCGAGCGGAGGGCGAUGUUGGUUUGUCGAGUGAUCGCGGGGAGAGUGAAGAAGAGCUGUGAAUAUGAUUGUCAAGAGGAAUGUGAUUCAGUGGUUAGCUCAAGAUCAUCAGUAGGGGCUUAUUCUAACUUAGAUGAGCUCCUACUAGUGUUCAAUCCUAGUGCUAUACUCCCUUGUUUUGUUGUGAUAUAUAGUGGUUAAUUAAUUAAUAGCUAGCUAGCUAGUAGAGCCACUCUUCCAACUAAAUGCUUUAUCUCCUCAGCAUGGUUAGUUACUCUUUAGUUUCUUUCAUAUGAAGAUUUUUUGCUGUUGAUCCUAACCAUUUACCUUUACAAAUGUUAUAUAUAUAUAUAGCUGAUAAUCUUCGUGCUAUUUUUUUUUUUUCUUGAUCUAACUAAAUUUUUUUUCUUCUAGCGUCAGAAACUGGAAUGGAAAUAUUUCUUCAUUAACCUGACGAAGGGUACAUAUGUAUAAUGAUCAAAGAACAAGUUAUAGAAUCCAUAGGUAUGAGAGCUUGUUUGGUCCUGUUAGAAUAUCUUAAAAAUUGCUGUAUAAAUUAGAGCUAUUUGAAGAAGCAGUAGUAUACCUGUACAAUUGGAGCUUCUCCUUUAUGAUCCAAAAUCUCUUUUCACUUUCCGAUAUAUGGCACAGAAUUUUAACAUGGUUAUUUUGCUUGAUGCUUGGCUGCAUGCCGCAUGCUUCUCAAAGUAAAAAAGUUAUUUUACUUAGAAGCCAUUUAAAUCACGGAUCACUAGUUAGGACAAAGUUAAGCAGGGAAAAGAACAUAAUAUCGAUCCCUAGUUAUGUCACGUCCCGUGCCCCGCCUAUUUAGUCGGGUUCAGGCACGCCAACAGACCGCCGAACGGACAGAAUUUUUUCUAUACGUCCUAGGCGUCGCAAUCAAUAUAAUACAAGGAGUUCCAACUAGGAACAGUAUUCAACAUACAGAUUGCAUAAGGAAGUAUCAAAAAUAUAAAACAACUAGCUAUUACAAGCAUUCAACUCACUUGCAUUCUUACAUCACAUUUUGCUUACAAUCAACUUCCAAAUACAAUCGAUUAUUACAAGUUUGUUUCUUCCAUUUCAAACCCCUAAGCUAGACUAACUUGAGGUACCGCUAUCUCUGGUCUCGGUGGUAGGGUGCUGCUAUCUACGGAGCUACGCCCUUUCCUCCCGCCGCUCAUGUGUGAACAUGUACCCCCAAAACAAUACGGGGGUGAGAACUAUUGUCCAUAGUUCCCAGUGGGUACGGCCACCCAAGGGAGAAGCUCAACUCACCAAGUCCAAGGAGGCACUGCAACCAUGUUAGUCCAAAAACAUCCACAGAUAUAUUUAUCAUUAUGUAAUUAUGCAACUAACAGAUAUCAUGCCUCACAAUAUGCAAUAUGAAUAUUAUGCAACUAUGCGAUCAACUAGUAGAUCCAUCAAUACUUCUUUCAAUCCUACUAUCUUUAGCUUAUGUCCACUAGCCUCUAAGGUUUCUACUACCUUAGUUUCACAAUUCAAAUUCAACUUACUUCUAAGGUCUCUAUUACCUUAGCUCUUGCCAUUUAUCACUAGCUUUUAAGGUUUCUACCACCCUAUCAAAGCUAUCCACCCGACUCGACUUCGAGUCAAUCAUCCGCGGACUACCGUGUACUGGCUGCUACAACAGCCACCGCACCCCAUGACUUAGCCCCUUGGCAGCGAAAUCGUCGCACACGCCAAACGUAGACUCAAGUCACCUGGCAGCAUAAUCCACAAAUCGGCUUAACCAUUUGGCGGCGAAAUCGUCGCACACGCCCAACAAUGGUUCAAGCCUCCGGGUGGUGAACUCUGCGCACUCACCCAAUUCCCAUUGGUAUCAAUCUCGGUGGUGAAAUCGUUGCACACGCCCUAGCCUUGAUACCGAGGUCACCACAAGUCCUGGGAUUCCGGAAUUCACUUCCACAUCUCAAGGGUCCGUCUCCAACCCUAUACUGUCGACCUAUCUAGGUUCGACCCAAAACAUUCUAGUGGCUGCUACCACUAUAGUCAACAACUUAGGUUCAACCACGCUAGGUUCUAAGUCAUCUCUACCUAGAUCUGAACUUCUAGGUUUACCUGUUCAACCUAUGUUUAGUAACACUAGGUUCAAUAUCAUUCAUGUUCAACCUAUGUUCACGACACUAGGUUAAAUGCCACUCGAUCUACUUGACAUUCUACUUGUCCAUUUCGAGUAAUAUAGCCCACAUGUUCUUAUUUUCCAAUGUCAACUUCUCUAAUCAAUCUAGAGUUAUUAACCAAGUUCAUAUGCCACCUAGCAUGCCUUACGAUAUAUAAUCAUGCAUUUUACUUAGCAUUACUACUUUAGGCCAACAUGCAUUCUUUCAGCACUUUGCGUUAUGUCAUUAUGCAUUCUCCUAGCAUUUAUCACAUGCAUCCAUCUAGCAUUUCUAUAACAUGCCCAUCAUGCAUUCAUCUAGCAUUUUCCUCAAUAUACCAACAUGCAUAUCUCAAUGGUAGGUAAUAAACAUCAAGCAUAAUAAGAUUCAUGCAUCCAUAUUAUCUUAUGCAACCUACCACUACACAUGUAUGCAUCAAUAAUAAACAUUACUUUGCUUCGACAUGGAAGCGAGCUAGACAUUUCGGUGAGCACAACCCAGCUCGUUUCACUCUCGAUUGCUUGUAGUCACUUGCAAUCGGCCUCCCGCGGCACACGCCGCCCGGCUCGGCCCGAUCUUGCAAUUAGUCACCAACCGUGCGUCAAUUUGCGGCUCCGGAUUUUAUAGGUCUAUAACUUGUUGCCACGACACUCGGGAUCCGUUCUCGUAAUUUUUGGACGUCGCCUCAGCCCUCUAGGCGGAAACGAAGCCAAAACGUCUGUUUCUUCAAUAUCUCCGCGUAGGCUCGACGAACCGCCAAACCGACUUCGCCAACGCGUCAGGAUACCUAGCAAUUAGGUUUACAUGGGUCCAAUUUAGAUCAAACCCCCAUAUUUUACAAAACCCCCUUUUUAAAGCCCUAGGUUGCCACUAUUGCAAGAACACUAAAUCAAACCUUAGAUUCAAGCAACUAGCAACCUAUUAGCAUCCUAGGAUUCUAUUAAAUUCAUUUCUAGGGCAUACAAACGAAGCUCCAAAGAUCUACCAUUAAAAGGCAUGGAGUUUACCUCAAGAGCUAGCUCCGAUGGCGAGGAAGAAGAUGAGGAAGAUGGUGGUCCACUUCCUAGCCUCCUUCUCCUCCAACUCCUCCUCUUAGAUCCACUUCUAGAGAGAGAGGGAGAGCUAUCCUAGAGAGAGAGAGAGCGAGUUUUUAGGGCUAAAUGUGGGAAAUGAGAGAGAUGAAGAGAGCCCCCACCUCUAUACCCUCUCAUAAGUGCAAAAUUGCACAAAACAUCCUCAACUAUGCAAGCUGCUCACUGCUCCGAACUGGACAUUUUCGGGCUACAGGGACCGAUCCUUGGUUUGAGGGACCGGACCCCGGAGGAGCGGUCCUUGCUUAAGGGAUCGGACCCCGUAGGUCCAGAAAAUCAGCCUUUUAGGACUUAGUCAAAUUUCAGCAUUUUUCAGCUUUUGGUCCGUUUUUGCUCGUCAGGCCUCCGAUUCAUUUCAAAUCGCACUGAGACUUUCAAAACAUGUUUUCGAGCGUAUUUAUAUUAUCUUUUCAUCCACGCUAACGCCGGAUUUAGUUCACAGUCCAACAUAACCUUUCGGGUUCCGUUUUCGCGCCCGACGCGCACCGAAAACGUCCGAAUGCUCCCGAACUUCAUCGGAACCAUCCUAAUAGCUUCUCUAACUUAGUAUACCCAGUAACUUCAUAAUUUUAGAAGUUCGGUAUGCUACAAGUUAUCUGUCUCUAUCAGUCGUAUAUACCACUGUAACUUUCUAAAAAAAUGACUCAUUCUACAUACAAUGUCACGUAUUGUUCAACUCAUCCACAAACAAAGAAUUAAAACAGAAGAAAUUAAUCUAAAUAAAAGAGAUUAUUAAUUAAUUUAUCCACCACGUACGGAUGGAUAAAACCCCAAACAAGCUACAGUAAAUAAUAAUAAACAUAUUGAUAGGACGAGUUACAGUAAAUUAGCUGAUCGACAUGCAAUUAAUCCUGUUCCUGUCCUGUAUAAUUUGUUACUAAUGCUGCUGCGGCGUAAUAAUUUCAUCAGUGUAUUGCAGGUUCUGCGUCUUAUUAGCCGCUUGUUUUAUAUCGCUGUCUCUUUGUGCGCGUCUUGGAUGUCUUGUUGGAGGACUUUUGAAAAGAAAAAUAAUGUCCCUGUGUGACUUGUUUUUCUUUUAUAUAUACAGAGAUAUGCUGCAUCCACCACUUGAGCCUUGUGGUUGUAUGCACGUGGUUGUCCUUUCAGGCGGUGUUUGAUUUCUUAAAAAAAAAAUAGGGUAAACCUUGGAUACCAUUUUUGUGAUUUGGUAUUUUAUCACUUUAUAGUUUAAAGUAUAACAAUUUUGUAUUCUAUGGUUUAAUUUUUUUUCUUUUCGCUAGCUUCUUCGUUAAUUUUUCAUUAAAUCAUAUACAAAAAACUUCAGAUACCCCGCAUAUAGUUUAUCGAAUAUUCACUUUAGUUUUAACUUUGUCACUAAUUUAACGAAAAAAAUUAGUGGAGGGAAUAACAAAAAGAGAAAAAUAAAACCAGAUACACAUUAAACUAUAUUGGAUACUAAAGUGAGAAAGUGCGAAACCACAUGAUAGUAUUUGAAGUUUUUCCAAAAAAAUAUGCUGGAGCCUAGAAGUAGUUUUCUGGCUUAAAAAAUAAUCUUAAUUUUAUCUGUUUGAUUCUAUGUAAACAUACGUAGUUUCUUUAUUUUAAUGGUAAAUUUUAAAUACCACCUCUGUAGUUUCGCAUUUUCUCACUUUAGUACCCUAUGGUUUAAAGUGUAUUAAAUUAGUGUCCCGUGGCACUACAACAGAAUUAGGUUAUAGGGACACAUGUUUGGGACACUUUUGUCUAAGUGUCCCAUUUAUGUCAAAAUUUUAAAAAACAUCUAUUAAUCCCUAAAUAUAAAGCCGAAUCCAAUAAAAAAUAAAAGGUUACUAUACUCAACCCACCCAACCCAACCCAUUUAGCCCGAUUCCAAACAGAAAGGAAAAAAAAAAAGAAAAAUCGAUUACCAUCUCUCUUUCUCUGCUCACUCAAUCUACUGAAAUCCUAGACGAAGGGUCCUUACCUCUCGUCCUCCUCCGCCGUCACAGCCAACGAGAUAGAGUUCCGACGGUUGCUAAAUGCUUAAAUAAGUGUUGCUAAAUUAGCAGCACUUUUUUAGAUUAUAGCGACACUCUUUAACUGUCGCUAUAUAUCUAGCGAUCCCACAUAUAGCAACACUUUUUAAAAGUGUCGGUAAUUUAGCCAGUAACAUUUUUUUUGACCUAUACCAAUAUUUAAAAGUGUCGCUAUAGACCGUUUUUGUUGUAGUGUAGUUUCAUUUUUAUCUCUUUGUCAGUUUUUUCAUUAAUAUUUCGUUAAAUUAUAUACAAAAAAAACUUCAGAUAUCCGAUCUAAGUUUAUCGAAUAUUCACUUUAGUACUCUUUAGUUUUAACUUUGUCACUAAUUUAACGAAAAAAAUAGUGGAAUCAAUAAUAAAAUAAUAAAUAUGAAACUACGGGGCACUAAAUUAUAUACUUUAACCCACAGGGUACUAAAAUGAGAAAGUGUAAAACCGCAGGGGUGGUAUUUGAAGUUUUUUCUUUUUUUAAAGCAAAGAGAAAUUUGAGAAUUUAUGAGAAGAAAUGUGUUUUCGUUUUUCAAUAUUUUUUUCUAGAAAAUAAAAAUUAUGAAAAUAAUGUUUUUCAUAAAAAUUGUGUUUUCCAAAUUAAUUUUCUAAUAUUUUUCAAGGAACCAAACAGUAAAAAACUUAUGAUUUAAAAAUCAGGUGUAACAAAGCAGUUUGACUGGCUCGACUAUGAACCUAGUUUAUACAGCUAUUUAAUUUGGUUCAACUCUUUGAGCGAGAUAAUUUAAAAAAUUAUUUUGAAUCGUUUGAACCAACGGUCCAACUAUCGAACCUAUGGAGUAAUGCAGUUUUUUAAUCAAACCAGCCAGAUUUUAUAGAUCAAGUCAUAUUAAAUCGAACAGCUUAAAAGCAACUUGGCUUAUUCUAUUUUCUAUUAGUACGGAUUUGUCUUAUAAGAAGUAAAACUUGCAAAACUAAUAUACAUCUACUUAAUUUGAUCUAAAAGUCAGUAUUUAUAAUUAAAUAUAAUACUAGAAUAAUUAUAAUAAUAUAUAAAUUUCUAUAUAAUAAAAUUAAAAAUAAUAAUUAAAUAUUUUUGACAUCCUUCUAACCUCAUUGGUACUAGUAAUAUUUUUGUAUCGCUGUUCGAUCCGACUUUUAAAACAGUGUGAAAAAUUUGAAUACUAAGAACUGUUUAGGAAAGAACAUGGGUAAAAUUGUUUGGAGAACCCUCAACAAUAAUAGGGCAUUCUAAGAGGAACUGAUAUUAAUAAUAUUAUUAUAGGUAAAAAUGUACAGAACUUAUUUGAAGUAUAGAUCCUUUUGAAUUGGCUAUCCAAUCUUUCAAAAUUUUAAUUUUUUUUUUUAUCCAACCUAUCAAAUUAUUUGAUUUGAAUCUAUCAACAGUUCUUUAACUUUAAUUAAUUUAUAGCUGCGGAAAUCAGAUAAGUUCCGUAUGAUUUUACCUAAAUUUUAUAAGAACAACUAAUUUUCAACAAAUAAGUACAAGUUAAAUUAGCUGAUUAUUAUCUAGAAUAAAUUUUAAUAGGUCAGAAAUUCGAACUUAUGUAUGCGUUUUAAAAAUAGGACGUUCAAGUUCAAGUUCGAUCGAGUUCGAGUUCGAGUUCGAUACCUCCGCUACACAUGCAAUAGCAUAGGUUCUUGGAGAUCCUCAAGUUUGCGGCCUAUGGAAAAGAAAUUUUUAAUGUGAGUUUAAUUGCUUGUCGAUAUUUAAAAAGGGGCUGUUAUGUAAAUUAAUCUAGGUUCCUAGGAUUAAAUAAUUCUCAUUUGAUAUAUGUGGUUGCUUUCAAGUAAAACUUCAGCUUUAGUUAUUCCGAUUAGAUUAAUUAUUUACUUUAAAUAAAUUAAAAAUUUUAUUGAAUUAUAGCAAUUUCAGUAGAUUUAACGGUUUUUAUAUUAAUGGUUAACGUGGAUGAUGGUCACAAAAUAAUUAAUUCUAAAAUAGCUCGAAUAAAUAAAAAAACGAAAGUCAAGUCGAUGUUAAUAAAAUAAUAUAAAGCUAAUGAAUUAUUUCAUGCAUGGUGGGCACCCCAUGGAUCCUUCUUACUCACACAAACUUAAUUAUAGUUGUGUUCUCUAGUUAAUUUCAAAUAGCAAGAUCGAUUUUGUAAUGCUUUGCUUUCUGAUGACACUAUAUUGAUUAUUGAUUAUGACUCAUGAUGCUGCAUUGACUAUUCUGCCAUGUUACUAUUAUAUUAAAGAUGCAUAUCAUUAAGUCAAACUAGGCGUUAAUAGCACCAAAUCAUUAGUGCUAUUAGAUUUUCGGGCUUUGGAUAAAGGAGUGUGCGGUUAAGAUGAUAGUGAUUCCCUAGUCACCAUUUGGUUCAGGAUUAAGGGGUGGAAUAACCCUUUAACCCUGAAGUUAUUCCCAAACAUCCAAUUUGAGGGGUGGGGUUAGCUAACCCAACCCUAUCACAGCCAAACAUUAUUUUCUAUUUAUAAUAACCUACUAUCCUUCUUAUCCCACUUACUCCAACCAAAUACUAUUUUAUCUAUACCUGGACUAAACUCAAUUUUCAACCAAAUACAAAAUUACUCUAACCCCAUCUUAACCCUAAACUUAACCAUAUUCCUGGAAUAACAAAUUUUUACUCCGAACCAAACGGUAGCCUAGGGUUUAGUGGGCGGUUGUUGGAAUGAUAUGAUCUAAGGGAUGAAAAUGAUCAAAAGGAUGGAUUUCACGAUUAAAAAUCUAGUAGCACCAGGUGCUUGAUACCGUUGAUAGUAUUGUAGUUGGACUCUUAUUCAGUCAACUUUAUUAAAUUUUGGUGUUUAAUCACAAUUGCUAGAAGCGUACUAGGAAAAGGUGGUAGUGGCCACAGCCACUAAAAUUUCGUAAAAUUGCAUUUAAAUUUUAUAUCAUAAAUUCUAAAUUACACGAAGUAAAUAGGUUAUAGGUGAAAUGUAGAAUUUAUUUAAACUUUAGUCUAUUUUGAUUCAACUAUCUAAUAUUUUCAAGUUUAAUUUUGAUAUUUAAUCUUUUAAUUUAUUUUUAACAUAUUUGAUGGCUUUUUCAAUAGAAAUUUUAGGUCCAUUACUAAAUUAAUGGAAUUGUAGUUCUAAUUUAACUAAUAUAAGCCAUUUGAUGGCUCUUGUUGUACAAAAUUUUGGUCCAUUACUUAAUUUAAUGAAAGUGUAGUUACAUAAAUUAUAAAAAUAUGCUAAUUAUACAUGAAAAAAUAAACGGUGCAUUCAAAUUUUAAAGUUUAAGAGUCAUAAAAUAGCUCAAAUUAAAUGAAUUAAUAUUUUAAAUAGUUGGAUCAAAAUGGGUCAUAGUUUAAGUUCGUACAUUUUUACUCAGGUGAAUCUGUCGCGUCCCAGAGCAAAGCCUUAACUUGGUGUGCAGUUGACCCAACACGAACAAAGUUUUUUCUAUACGUGCAAGGUGUUGGAAUUACAAACAACUUGAAACAACUACAAUUUAGAUAACAUAGUAAUAUAUAUAUAUAUAUAUAUAUAUAUAUAGAGAGAGAGAGAGAGAGAGAGAGAGAGAGAGAGAGAGAGAGAGAGAGAGCUAGUCUCCUAUACUAUUUAUAGUAUAGGGGCUCCGGUCCUAUAGUCUCAUUUUCGAUCUUAGGGUGUUCAAAUCAACGAUCCAUACUGUUAAAACUGAUCUAGGGUAUUUAAAGUUUUUAAAAAUAAAAUUUUAUAUUUUUUCGAUAUAGUUUACUUUAUGAUCAAACCAUUUCAAACUUGUCAAUUUUCAAUGGCUACUAUGGCGAGUUUGGAGUUUAACGGUGUAGAAGAAUCUAAAUUUCUUCAAAUUUUGAUAGAAAAUAUUUUAAACUAUCUAGAUUAAGGUUAACAUUCUUGAUCUUGAAUUUAAAAAUCCUAUGCUCAAAUUUUAAAAAUUAUUCAAUUUCCACCGUCUAUUUUGACAUAAUUUAUUUACUAAGUAAACGAUGUCGAAAAAAACUAAAAUUUUAUUUCUAAGAACUUCAUAUACCCUAAAUCAUAUUUAACGGUGUGGAUCGUUAAUUUGAACACCCUAAGAUUGAAAACAAGACUAUAGUACCGGAGCACUGAUACUCUAGAUAGUAUAGUAGCCUAAUUCUAUAUAUAUAGAGAGAGAGAGAGAGAGAAUUGAACUCCUAUGCUUUUAAAAGUACCAAGUUAUUGGUGCUUAUAGAUUUUUAGCCAUUGGAUUAAGAUAUAUGCGGUUAGGAUGAUGUGGGCCUCCUAGGGUUGAGUGGGUGGUUGGUUGAAUAGUAUAAUCUAAUGGUUGAAAAUGAUCCGAGGAGUAGAUCUAACGGUAAAUAACUUACAAGCACCAAGUGCUUGGUACUUUUUGGUACUUUUACAAGCACCAUAGCUGGACUCUAUAUAUAUAUAUAUAUAUAUAUAUAGGCUGGGACUAUUAUACUCUUAUGAGUAUAGAAUCUCUUGUACUCAUAAAUUUUUAACUGUUAAUUGAUAGGAUGCAUGAUUAGAAUGAUGGUGGCCUCCACUUAGAAUGAUAGUGGUUCUCUAGGGUUGAGUGGUUAGUUGGUUGAAUAGUAUGAUCUAACGGGUGGAAAUGAUCAAUGAAAUUAAUCUAAGGACCCAAAAUUUAUGAGUAUAAGAAAGUCAAUACUCAUAAAAGUAUAGUAGCCGGACUAUAUAUAUAUAUAUAUAGAACUAUGCUCCUAUGCUAUCAAUAGUACCAAGUCCUUGGUACUAUUGAGUUUUUGGCCGUUUGAUGAAAGAAUGUGCGGUUAGGAUGAUAGUGGUCCCCUAGGGUUGAGUGGGUGGUUGGUUUAAUAGUAUAAUCUAACGGGUGAAAAUGAUCACAGGGUAAAUCUAACGGUAGAAAACUCUAUAGUACCAAAGGCUUGGUACUAUCAAUAGUAUAGUAGCCGGACUCUAUAUAUAUAUAUAUAUAUAUAUAUAUA
rnacentral:lncRNA from 1 species